UACGUAGGGUGCGAGCGUUGCCCGGAUUUCUUGGGCGUAAAGGGCGCGUAGGCGGCCACGCACGUCCGUUGUGAAAUCGCUCGGCUCAACUGGGCGGGGUCAGCGGAUACGGAGUGGCUGGAGCAAGCUAGGGGGCAAUGGAAUUCCCGGUGUAGUGGUGGAAUGCGUAGAUAUCGGGAGGAACACCAGUGGCGAAGGCGGUUGCCUGGAGCUUUGCUGACGCUGAUGCGCGAAAGCGUGGGGAGCGAUCCGG
rnacentral:rRNA from 1 species